ACGGGUGAGUAAUAUAUCGGAACGUACCCAAGAGUGGGGGAUAACGUAGCGAAAGUUACGCUAAUACCGCAUACGAUCUAAGGAUGAAAGCAGGGGACCGCAAGGCCUUGUGCUCCUGGAGCGGCCGAUAUCUGAUUAGCUAGUUGGUGAGGUAAAGGCUCACCAAGGCAACGAUCAGUAGCUGGUCUGAGAGGACGACCAGCCACACUGGAACUGAGACACGGUCCAGACUCCUACGGGAGGCAGCAGUGGGGAAUUUUGGACAAUGGGGGCAACCCUGAUCCAGCAAUGCCGCGUGAGUGAAGAAGGCCUUCGGGUUGUAAAGCUCUUUUGUCAGGGAAGAAAAGGCUGUGGCUAAUAUCCAUAGCUGCUGACGGUACCUGAAGAAUAAGCACCGGCUAACUACGUGCCAGCAGCCGCGGUAAUACGUAGGGUGCAAGCGUUAAUCGGAAUUACUGGGCGUAAAGCGUGCGCAGGCGGUUUCGUAAGUCUGUCGUGAAAUCCCCGGGCUUAACCUGGGAAUGGCGAUGGAGACUGCGAGGCUAGAGUUUGGCAGAGGGGGGUAGAAUUCCACGUGUAGCAGUGA
rnacentral:rRNA from 1 species